rnacentral:tRNA from 1 species
GGUAGGAUGCCUGAGGUAUAGGCGAUAAACUGUAAAUUUAUUCACGAGAACUUUUCUCUCCUACCA